rnacentral:rRNA from 2 species
CUUGCUCCCUGAGAUUAGCGGCGGACGGGUGAGUAACACGUGGGCAACCUGCCUAUAAGACUGGGAUAACUUCGGGAAACCGGAGCUAAUACCGGAUACGUUCUUUUCUCGCAUGAGAGAAGAUGGAAAGACGGUUUACGCUGUCACUUAUAGAUGGGCCCGCGGCGCAUUAGCUAGUUGGUGAGGUAAUGGCUCACCAAGGCGACGAUGCGUAGCCGACCUGAGAGGGUGAUCGGCCACACUGGGACUGAGACACGGCCCAGACUCCUACGGGAGGCAGCAGUAGGGAAUCUUCCGCAAUGGACGAAAGUCUGACGGAGCAACGCCGCGUGAACGAAGAAGGCCUUCGGGUCGUAAAGUUCUGUUGUUAGGGAAGAACAAGUACCAGAGUAACUGCUGGUACCUUGACGGUACCUAACCAGAAAGCCACGGCUAACUACGUGCCAGCAGCCGCGGUAAUACGUAGGUGGCAAGCGUUGUCCGGAAUUAUUGGGCGUAAAGCGCGCGCAGGUGGUUCCUUAAGUCUGAUGUGAAAGCCCACGGCUCAACCGUGGAGGGUCAUUGGAAACUGGGGGACUUGAGUGCAGAAGAGGAAAGUGGAAUUCCAAGUGUAGCGGUGA